GAUGAACGCUGGCGGCGUGCCUAAUACAUGCAAGUCGAGCGAACGGACGAGAAGCUUGCUUCUCUGAUGUUGGCGGCGGACGGGUGAGUAACACGUGGAUAACCUACCUAUAAGACUGGGAUAACUUCGGGAAACCGGAGCUAAUACCGGAUAAUAUUUUGAACCGCAUGGUUCAAAAGUGAAAGACGGUCUUGCUGUCACUUAUAGAUGGAUCCGCGCUGCAUUAGCUAGUUGGUAAGGUAACGGCUUACCAAGGCAACGAUGCAUAGCCGACCUGAGAGGGUGAUCGGCCACACUGGAACUGAGACACGGUCCAGACUCCUACGGGAGGCAGCAGUAGGGAAUCUUCCGCAAUGGGCGAAAGCCUGACGGAGCAACGCCGCGUGAGUGAUGAAGGUCUUCGGAUCGUAAAACUCUGUUAUUAGGGAAGAACAUAUGUGUAAGUAACUGUGCACAUCUUGACGGUACCUAAUCAGAAAGCCACGGCUAACUACGU
rnacentral:rRNA from 1 species